CCUGGAAGAGGUGCUUUCCCCAACAGUUGGGUUCUCUGUGAAGCCCAUUCAGGUGAGCCCAGGUGGAAACGGCAAUAGAUCAACCAAAGGAAAAUCGCAAAGAAGAAUCAGAAGACAUCCACACCGAGCACCGGAGCCAAAUCUCUGGGAGAGACAGAGGCCCUGUGAACGCUUCGCCUGACGUCAAUCGGGGCUGCUCUUCUGUGUCUGCGGCUUCGACGGAAGGAGGCCGAAUUAGGGGGCCGAGCUGAAAAGGCAGAGGACUGGCGUGGCAUAAACAGCCCAGGAAAGACUCCAGGGAGGCCAGGACGCGAGCCCCCACCUCCUCUGCUGCUGGCCUGGACAGCAGCUCCCUCUGAAUGGUUGGGAUCGCUUAUGGAGAAGGUCCACAGCCUUGCUCCAUCCAGACCUCUCUUGGGGAAGCUUCUGGUUUCAAUGGCUCAAUAAGCUAGUCCACAGGUGGGCUCUGAUAGCUGACAAUGGCUCGACCUGUCCUCGCUGUGGUCCCCAGGCUUAUAGCAUCAACAUCACCUGGAAACUUGUUAGAAAUACAAAUGACUGGGCUCCACCCCAAAUCUAUGAA
ensembl:lncRNA